GCUUCCGAAUGGGUCAAGGGCAAGCAAGUGGAGGAAGUGGUAGCCAUCAAGAACACCGAGAUUGCGAAGCACCUGUCUCUUCCACCAGUGAAGCUGCACUGCAGCAUGCUCGCUGAGGACGCAAUCAAGGCCGCCGUGAAGGAUUACGAGGCAAAGAAAGGGAAGAAGAUGGCCAAGGCAGAGGAGCAGGACACCCCAUGCCCGUAAGAGCGACAGCUAGUAAACUGAAGCGAGCAGAGAGUAGUGUAUGUAGUAUGUAACGGCUAACGAGCGAGGUACUCGUGUCGUGUGUGCCAAAAGAAGCAUGUAUGUAAUGUAAAGCUAGGUAACAACGAUGUUUGGGUUUCAUAGAAUAAGCGAACUUGCCGCAGUGUUUUUUUAUCUGCUCUGCACAUGAAUAAGGUCUGCCCGUUGCUCUUUAUCUGCUUAGUCGGAGCAUGCAUGCUUAGUUUGAUCAAGCAAUGCUGUUGAGAUUAAUACCCG